GCGGAGCAGAAACGGGCCGCAAGCCCGCAUGGCUGUUGAGUUCCUUGUCGAGCUUCCCAAGCUUACGACGAGGGUUCGAUUCCCUUCACCCGCUCCA
rnacentral:tRNA from 1 species